rnacentral:lncRNA from 1 species
UGACCCCUUAGGAGUACCCCUAAAACUGAGGGGGUGAUAUACCUUUCCAACCUUCUAGGGCCAUAGUGGCAAACCUAUGACAUGUGUGCCAAAGAUGUCACACAGAGACCUCUCUGUGAUGUGAGCAUGCCCAUCACCCCGCAGCAAAGUUAGUUACUAAAAAGGCAGAGGGACCCCCUCCCUUGAGCAGAGGAUUGAGGCCACUCUCCUCCCCCUCUCUACACUUGCCUCUCAUCACCUACCCCUCUGCCUAGCAGCCCCAUCCCUUCCCUGUCUCCCUCUCCUGUCUGGUUAUGAACCAUUCCCCUAUUCAUCAAUAAAAAGUUUUCUAGGCAGCUCUACAAUUUAUAUGUGCCAGAGAAGGUGCCAACAUGCAUCGAUAGUUUCUUUACCUGAGUUUCCUGUGCCAUUGAAAUGA